rnacentral:rRNA from 1 species
UGCUUAGCUAUUAACCACAAUAGUACCACACCUACUAUUCGCCAGANGACUACAAGCAAAAUGCUUAAAACUCAAAAGACUUGGCGGUGCUCCAAAUACACCUAGAGGAGCCUGUCCUAUAAUCGAUAAUCCACGAUAUACCAAACCACCUCUGGUCACUCCAGCUUAUAUACCGCCGUCGUCAGCCUACCCCCUGAGGGGUAAAAAGUAGGCAAAAUAGCCCAACACAAAAACGUCAGGUCAAGGUGUNGCUAAUGAGGUGGAAAGUGAUGGGCUACAUUUUCUAUGUUAGAAAACACGAAAAAUAUAAUGAAACUUAUUCUAGAAGGCGGAUUUAGUAGUAAAAUAAAAAAGAUUGCUUAUUUUAAACCCACACUGGAGCGCGCACACACCGCCCGUCACCCUCUUUAAACUCACAUAAAACAAAUAUAUACCAACAAACCACAAUAGAAGAGGCAAGUCGAAACAUGGUAAGCGUACUGGAAAGUGCGCUUGGAUUAC